rnacentral:rRNA from 1 species
CCGGCGCACGGGUGAGUAACACGUAUCCAACCUGCCGAUAACUCGGGGAUAGCCUUUCGAAAGAAAGAUUAAUACCCGAUGGCAUGGAAAGCCCGCAUGGUCUUUCCAUUAAAGAAUUUCGGUUAUCGAUGGGGAUGCGUUCCAUUAGAUAGUAGGCGGGGUAACGGCCCACCUAGUCAACGAUGGAUAGGGGUUCUGAGAGGAAGGUCCCCCACAUUGGAACUGAGACACGGUCCAAACUCCUACGGGAGGCAGCAGUGAGGAAUAUUGGUCAAUGGACGAGAGUCUGAACCAGCCAAGUAGCGUGAAGGAUGACUGCCCUAUGGGUUGUAAACUUCUUUUAUACGGGAAUAAAGUAUUCCACGUGUGGAAUUUUGUAUGUACCGUAUGAAUAAGGAUCGGCUAA